GCACAAGCGGUGGAGCAUGUGGUUCAAUUCGAAGCAACGCGCAGAACCUUACCAGCCCUUGACAUGUCCCGUAUGGGUUUCAGAGAUGAGACCCUUCAGUUCGGCUGGCGGGAACACAGGUGCUGCAUGGCUGUCGUCAGCUCGUGUCGUGAGAUGUUGGGUUAAGUCCCGCAACGAGCGCAACCCUCGCCCUUAGUUGCCAUCAUUCAGUUGGGCACUCUAAGGGGACUGCCGGUGAUAAGCCGCGAGGAAGGUGGGGAUGACGUCAAGUCCUCAUGGCCCUUACGGGCUGGGCUACACACGUGCUACAAUGGCGGUGACAGAGGGACGCAAUGGAGCAAUCCUGCGCAAAUCUCAAAAAGCCGUCUCAGUUCGGAUUGGGGUCUGCAACUCGACCCCAUGAAGUCGGAAUCGCUAGUAAUCGCAGAUCAGCACGCUGCGGUGAAUACGUUCCCGGGC
rnacentral:rRNA from 1 species